UCACUUCCGCCUUCAACCCAUCGCAGUUAGCUCCCCGAGGCAUAUUAGGGAGCAGCUCGAGCGUCAUACGUGUUUAUCAACGACUUGGUUUUGAUAGUGGUCCAUACACAGUUGCCUGAGGAGGUCGUCCGUUGGUGGACGCUCAAACGUAACAAUUCACGUGCACACAAAUGCAACGUAGGGACAAUUAUCAGCCGGCCAUUUUCUUGUUUUGAGAGACUAUUGACCACGAACAGAAACACGCCGUUCAUAAACACAUCAGAAAGGGAAGUGACGUUUGACCUGCCUCGUCCGAUGCCGCUGCAGCAAAAUGCGCUUACUCCGAUGGACCCAUGAGGUUUCGUCUGCUACAUGAUAAGGGGCAGAUAUUGCAUGUGUAUCCAUAUUCACAGCAGUGCUGACCAUCUGCACAACACUGGCCCUGAAAAUCAACAACAGUCUGGUGUUAGAACACAAUCAUUCCAUUAUAGGUGAGAUGUUUGCCGUCUAUUUGGAGGCUGCCUAUGCGAAAAUACAUGGAAUGAGAGCACAACAGUAUGCGCACGUUGGGUUGAUACUAAAUAAAAAGUUGGUUCCACAGUGUCAGACAUUCCUGCAUUGGCAGGAAACCAGGAAUUAGCCCUGAAGCAGGUAUUCCUGACUUCAGGCCUGCACAUAGAGGACAAGCGCUCCAGCCUCGAGCAGGAAUGGCUAACACCAGAUGAUAAUAUUCUGGCCACAUGUGAACAGACUGAAAGAAUACCAAAUCCAUACCAGUGGGUAAGGACAGCAAUUCCAGGAUUCUGAUGACAAUCCUUUGCAGCAAGAUGUGCCUUGUGGGCAGAAGAACUUCGAAUUGCAGCGAAUGACUCCAAACUCCUGCUUGCUCCCACUGGUGUGUACUACAGCUGGUACAUGCGUCUGCAACAAGAUAAAAUUGUAUAUGUUGUUAUACUGGCUUAUUUGUGCACAAAAGAUUAAAUACUACAGAAACACUUUG